GACGAACGCUGGCGGCGUGCUUAACACAUGCAAGUCGAACGGGUCUGCCCUGUUUUUUGCGGGGUGGGUCAGUGGCGAACGGGUGAGUAACACGUGAGUAACCUGCCCCUCACUUCUGGAUAACCGCUUGAAAGGGUGGCUAAUACGGGGUGUUCUGGCUGUGCCGCAUGGUGUGGCUGGGAAAGAUUCACUUUUGUGGUGUUUUGGUGGGGGAUGGGCUCGCGGCCUAUCAGCCUGUUGGUGGGGUGAUGGCCUGCCAAGGCUUUGACGGGUAGCCGGCCUGAGAGGGUGGGCGGUCACACUGGGACUGAGAUACGGCCCAGACUCCUGCGGGAGGCAGCAGUGGGGGGUAUUGCACAAUGGGCGGAAGCCUGAUGCAGCGACGUCGCGGGAGGGAUGGAGGCCUUCGGGUUGUGAACCUCUUUCGCCGGUGAAGAAGGUCCUGCUCUUUGUGGUGGGGUUGACGGUAGCCGGGUUAUGAAGCGCCGGCUAACUACGUG
rnacentral:rRNA from 1 species